rnacentral:rRNA from 1 species
GACGAACGCUGGCGGCGUGCUUAACACAUGCAAGUCGAACGGAAAGGCCCUGCUUUUGUGGGGUGCUCGAGUGGCGAACGGGUGAGUAACACGUGAGUAACCUGCCCUUGACUUUGGGAUAACUUCAGGAAACUGGGGCUAAUACCGGAUAGGAGCUCCUGCUGCAUGGUGGGGGUUGGAAAGUUUCGGCGGUUGGGGAUGGACUCGCGGCUUAUCAGCUUGUUGGUGGGGUAGAGGCUUACCAAGGCUUUGACGGGUAGCCGGCCUGAGAGGGUGACCGGCCACAGUGGGACUGAGAUACGGCCGAGACUCCUACGGGAGGCAGCAGUGGGGAAUAUUGCACAAUGGGCGGAAGCCUGAUGCAGCAACGCCGCGUGCGGGAUGACGGCCUUCGGGUUGUAAACCGCUUUCGCCUGUGACGAAGCGUGAGUGACGGUAAUGGGUAAAGAAGCACCGGCUAACUACGUG